AACUGUUAGAAAACGGUUGAGGUUGGAAUAGAUCUCUUGAGAUUAGUUAGUCCACCCGCCUUGCUCUCCUGAAAUACCUGUGAUGGUGUGUAUUUGCAUAUAAAGAGACAUGGCAUGAAGAGCCAGGUGUGAGGUUUAACUUCUUAAGAAGUGCCAGAUGGCUGCAGAGCAAUGAGGGUGCAGUAACUUUUGAAAGAACAUUCUGGCACAGUAUUGAAUAUUAUUUGGAAUACUAUUCAUUGGAAUUUAAAGCGUAUCUGAAUUUUGGAAGUUUCCCACUAGUCUAACAGAUGUGUGAUUUUUAGAGUGAAAGAAUCUGCUACAUCUUCCACAGAUACUGACUGAGUAUGGGAGAGAGCUGAUACCAUCCAACUCUUACAUUAGCAGGUGGUAAAGAGUUUUGAAAUAGCAGGAACAGCAUAAAAGCACACAGGAGUUGAGAUCUGUAAGAACAACUUCAGUUAAACCUGUGAGAAAAUAAAUGGAAGAGAUCUCACA
rnacentral:lncRNA from 1 species